rnacentral:rRNA from 1 species
AACGAACGCUGGCGGCAGGCCUAACACAUGCAAGUCGAGCGAGGACUUCGGUCCUAGCGGCGGACGAGUGAGUAACGCGCGGGAACGUGCCCUUUGCUUCGGAAUAGCCCUGGGAAACUGGGAGUAAUACCGGAUGAGCCCUUUGGGGGAAAGAUUUAUCGGCGAAGGAUCGGCCCGCGUUGGAUUAGGUAGUUGGUGGGGUAAUGGCCUACCAAGCCGACGAUCCAUAGCUGGUUUGAGAGGAUGAUCAGCCACACUGGGACUGGGACACGGCCCAGACUACUACGGGAGGCAGCAGUGGGGAAUCUUAGACAAUGGGGGAAACCCUGAUCUAGCCAUGCCGCGUGAGCGAUGAAGGCCUUAGGGUUGUAAAGCUCUUUCAGCUGGGAAGAUAAUGACGGUACCAGCAGAAGAAGCCCCGGCUAACUCCGUG